rnacentral:rRNA from 1 species
UACGUAGGGUGCAAGCGUUGUCCGGAAUUAUUGGGCGUAAAGAGCUCGUAGGCGGUCUGUCACGUCGGCUGUGAAAUCCCGAGGCUCAACCUCGAGACGUCGGUUGAAACCAUCUGGCUAGAGUCCGGAAGAGGAGUGUGGAAUUCCCGGUGUAGCGGUGAAAUGCGCAGAUAUCGGGAAGAACACCCGUGGCGAAGGCAGCUCGCUGGGACGGUACUGACGCUGAGACGCGAAAGCGUGGGGAGCAAACAGG